rnacentral:precursor_RNA from 10 species
AACGGGCAACGGUUUCUAAUUCUCGCCCUCACGGACGAAAGCCUCAGUUAGAUCUCUGGAGAGCUGUCUCAGAUCGGUGGGACUUUCGUUCGUCUGGGAGAGAAGGUUCGAACUUCAGACUUACC